ensembl:snRNA U2 U2 spliceosomal RNA
ACCACUGAGCUAAAUCCCCAGCAGUGUAGUACCUGUUCUUAACAAUUUAAUAUCUGAUAAUGUCUUCUGAAAACAAUAUAUUAAAUGGAUUUUUGGAGCUAGGAGAUAGAAUUGGAACUUGCUCUGUCUACUCCAUGCAUCGACCUUGUACCUCUGGGGAAAUACACACACA